CCGAGUAGUUCUUCACCAGUCUUUUCCAUGUCAAGAUCAGCACUGAGUAUGAAAGUAUUGAUUUUCAAAAUGCAUAUCAAAUUUACACAUUUGCCACCAGCCAGUUUAUCACCACCUGCUAUCUUGUAUUCAAUUCUGUUACACAAGAGUGUAAAUUAAUGCGGAGUGCAAUCCUCGUAAUUAUUAUAGUUGGGGAGCAAAUGGGGCUGUGCAUAUGCAAGUAUCUAAUUAGCCACGUAAUGGUCGCAUACACGUGAAAAUACCCUGUUCAACUAUGAAAUCGUACCGACUGCUUCAGCUUAUACAACGGUGUGUAUAGUUGCCUUCCUUGCAUAAGGAGAAUUAGGCCUUCUGUUUUUAAUAAUACUGCACCAUUCUGUUCAAUUCUGAGCCCUUAAUCUUGCAUCACAGUAGAACACUCCGGUAGCAACAAAUAAUUGUGUGUUUUUCACACUUUCCAUUUUGUAAAAUGCUACUUCCUGACCUCUGUGAAAUGCAUACAGUGGGCUACUUUGAUGUAUAAUUAGAUUAAUCUUAACUAAAAAGUAUCCUGGUGUAGCUGUGACAGUAAAAAGAAUAAGAUUUUACCUACUCAGGAAUUUUAAUUUUCAGUUGUCUUUUCUCAUGAGAGCUCUGUUGUCUUAGUAUGUCACACAUAGUUUCACCACUUCUGUUUGUUUUAGACUGAGACAACUUGGCCUUAUUAGCUUCUUCUAUCCCCUUCAGUUUUGGUGGGGUCUCAAGUGCCUCCUUAGUUCUAUUGCAAAAGGAAGUCCUCAUAAACCACAUAAAGCCCUAAAAAAGCUGAGGGCAAAAUUGAGUGGAUCUUUGCUCUCAUUGGCUGCAUCUUCCCCUCAUGCAGUGCUGCCACGGGUGUCUAAAGCUCUGCAAAGGGAAAGAGAAUUGCAGGCUGCUGGCUCUCCAUGUCAGAGAGCAUGCAUUCACUCCCAGUACCUUUUCUGGAUCUGCCAAAUGUAUUGCUGGGAUUUCUAGGAUACAACAUCAUCAUUUCAGCACUUCUGUAAUUUACAGACAAAGAACUACGAAAUAGGAACAUAGCUAGGAGGAUUGGGCAUAGUAUGAGGUCAUGCUGUCUAAGGCUGGCCAGAUACUUGCCUUUCCACUCAACUUGUAGAGGCAAAUUUGCUCAUUUCUGAACGUUCUCUACUUCUUUUAGAUGAGCAUCAGCAAGACUGAUAAAAAAAUAGUUGGUGUGUUUUUACUUGGAACUUCUCUCCAAAAAAUGAGAAUUUACUUUGCUUAUAUAGAGUAAUUAAGAAUACUCAUACUCAAUAAUUAAUUUGGGGGUUAAUUUUACCUCUCCCCCCUCUCCCAAUGCAGGCAUCUGCAUACUUCUGUACAUGCACAUAUGCAUACUCCAUUAAAAUUACAUCAGCAUAAGUAUGAAUAUCAUGAACCAAAAGUUUGGCAUCCCUACUAUAGUGACAGCUGACUGCCACCUAUGGGCAGGAGUUCAUGUUAACAUAUUUAGCUAGAAUUUUAAUAUUAUUCUUUGCAAUUAAUUCAAUUUGUAAUUGUUCUAGUAGGACAGAGCUUCAAUUCAUUUGCUAUAUAUUUGUCCACGGCAAUCACUUCUCCCUCUGAAAACUGAAUAUUAAAACCAGCUUCUUUAUGAAGGGGAAUCAGCUUUGCGACGAUUAAAAAAAAAUGGGGUAGGACGUUCUUAUUUCUGUUAUCUGAAUAAGGAAUAAAUAGAAGCACCCUACUUCUCCAAGCAAAGAAAAAUGACUCAGUGGUACACAGACAGGCACAUCAACAAGAUAAUGCUGUAUUUAAUGAUUACUGUAAUUUUAAAGUUUAGCCAUCUCAAGGUUGUAAUAUUUUGUUGACGGCCUUCUUUUACUAAAUACAUACAAAUAGGCUGGUUAUGCAGUCCCGUGAAAAUGUGUAUAUAAUUAGUAUGUCAUAGUAAUUCUCUAUUCAAAAAUUUUCAUUUUUCCGAGGAAAAUGAUGGCUAAAGUGGGGGAAGAGAAAGAAGAGCAGAAAAAUGUAUGGCUUGAUUAUGUAAGCCUUGAUUUUUCUGAUAAUCAGUGCUCAUUUACGAAAGAAAAAAAGCAAGUGCAGACUGAAAUGUCAAAUUCAUUGUAUUAAAAAUCGUGUUUCUAAUUCAGCUUCCAGGUACUUAAAAGCAAAUAGGCUGACAAUUCUGUCUAUUUGAUUACAAAUAACAAAAAUGCUCGACUACAGCUACUACAUCGUAGUAUGCUGCAGUAUAUCGUGCAGCCCUCAUCAUUUCUCAGAAAUAACAUACGUAAACAUAGCUGGAACAGUUUAGCGAAUUAAUACAUACAUUUUCGUUUGGGAAAAAAGAUCAUUUUACUUCAGUCAGCAGAAGGUAUUUGUAACCAUAACAUGCUUCCCUUUUUGGGGAAGGAGCGCAGAAUUUUUGAGGGAACAGAGACAGAAAUGAACUUUAAAAGGGGAAAAUAUGUUAAAAGAGACAGAAACUUACAGGAACUAAGAAUGAGUUUGAUAUGAUGAAUUUUUCAAAAUCCCCCUUUUAAAGUAAUUUUAUUUCUGGGCCUCCUCAUUUGUGUUCCACCCUGUUAAAUAUUUUUUUUUGAGAUAGUCUGGUAAUUGUAAGUAUUACAUUUGUGCUCAUCUCAUGCGUUUUUACUAAGUUUUAUUACUAAAGUUACGUCGUAAACUUGGGAAAUACUGUACAAGCAGCAUACACCAUUUUGGUAUCAGACGUUAUCACGUCGGCAUUUCAUGCUUACCCUCCAACAGCAUAAGCACCCUUUAUCAUCUAUGGAAUUCUGACAUUUAUGGUAAAAUAUUUGUACUCAGUACACAAAGGGAUUUUGAAACUUAAGUAACUGUGUUACACAGCAAUUUAAUUCCAAUACAUUUUGCUUCUUACUACUGAAUUAAGAUUGCAAAAACAGUCUGACUUUCUUGUGUCCGACCGGUAACAUUCCCUUGCAUUUUCAAACCACGGUUUAAACCGAACCCACUCAGACUCUUUGGAUAGAAACUUCAUAUCAGACAAAAAUUACUCUUUAGCACGUUUGAUGAAUCCAGCUUAAAACCAAACACAGAACUGCAUGAACAUCUGCGACAAACGACUCGCCUUGGCCAUUCUCUUCUUUCUUAUUUAAUCUCCCACUGGAGUACAGUUUAGUUGGUUUGCUAUUUUAUAGUGCAGAUCUCUCCCUCACCAACCUACUGCUUGCAAAAAAGAACUUUAAAAAUUUCCAUGUGUGAGAACAAAACCUGAGCAGAAUAGGGCUGCACCUUUUAAAAUGGGUACUAGCAGGGGAAGGGAAAGCAACGAACAAGCUAGCACUCCAAAUUUCCAGGAAUAACAAAAAGGGGAAAAAAAAAUAGGAAAAAUGAAACCGAGGACUGUUAAACUAAUAGAUCAGUUACUAGAAUAUGAAACAGAACCGUCCUUUCCUGGUGAUGCUUCACUGACUUGCUGCUUGCAUACCCACACGAGUAUAAACUGAGAGCAAAAUUUUUCUUAAUGUAGGCAGUAUUACGAAUGUUGAGAUAUUCCUGUUUCAGUAUCUUUAAAUCUGAGGCCUUGUUAAAGAAGACGCUACUUGGAAAGAUCUCUGAGAUACCGGCAAACCCUGCUUGGUUUCUCCUGAUUUUCUUCCACAAAUGAUCUGUUUGAUAGACGGGGGAAAAAUAAAAGAGCAAAUAGCAGGCAAAGCACCUUUAAAGUGCCUGUUGUUACUUUUGUGCCUUUACAAAAAGACGAGGAAAAUUCCACUUCCCAAGUAAAGAAAUACAGAGCAGUGUAACAUCAUAGCUUUAGAAAUUAUUCUUUCUGUUUUUCACACAUCGCCUCAAUUUCACCCGAAUGCUGCUUAUACUGCGUAACACAGAUUUUACUUUACAUAAUAUCGCUUAGUGCCUAUAUGGAUUAUUUGUUACCUAAUAACUGUUAGAUUGGUCGUGAAUUUUUACUGUGCUAGGUGUUUUUCAGAACAUAGUUACAUGUCUGCAUUUUUUUUUGACAAACUUUCAAAAUAUUACUGUAUUCUGGUCUAUUUCACCAUGAUUUAACACUGCAGGAGUGCAUCCAGAUAUUCAUAACACAAUACGCUUGUAGGCACAACUAAACAAAAAGCAGAUUAGCUUGUGAUGUAGUGGAAUGAGUGGGACUUUCUUCUAAUGGAGAAAAACCUGUUUGCUCAUAAUAAUUCCAUUUAUAGCUGAGAAAGGGAGCAAAGCACCUGGAAUUGAGUCAGUGUGAAUUCCAGCAAUGCAAUGAGCUUCACAAAAGCUGUGGUUACCUUGUUUUUUAACUAACCACACUGAGCUGACAGCUAUUAACAGUAGCAAGGACUUGCAUAACGAGGACUUGAAGGAAAGCUUAGCACUAUCCAUGCCAGAGCGAUUUAAAGAGAAUGAAGGCACGUAUUUCUUUAUGAUGCAUUAUGUAACAACAUAGAGGGCAAUCUGAGACAUUUAAAAAGAUACGGGGACCCACAUAUAAUUUUACACUUGUUAUUUUAGAGUGCUUAUAACCCAAUGCUUAUGAAACACCUAACUUAGGAAUGUGAUCCUGUAAAAUGAGUUUAAAAUGUUUUUGAAGACGUGUUUUACGUUUUGUACGUGCUUAGAAAAGCAUAGUAGGUCCUACAAUUCAUUUUCUUCAAAAUUCUGCAAUGUAUGCAAUCUCAGAUAAAAUUGUCAAAAUCUAGGAUAGCUGGACCUUCUGGUUCACAUUAGUGUGAAGAGAAAACUGCUGUUGAGCUGACACGUUGAUAGAUUAUGAGUUCUGCUGAAGAAUAGCUAAAAAUGGUGAUUCAAUCUUGUCGCUACUGUAUAAAAAAAAUAACAGAAGUGGAGAUGUUACUCAUGAUAUCGUGUCUUUCAUCAAAACCCUAAAGGGUUCUGGUGCAUUGAACACGUUUUCCUUCUGAGAGCUUUUGGCUGUAUAAAAUAUCGGUGUAAGUAAAUGAAACUAAAUUGGCCUAUUUAAAAAACAAAUAGGAUGAGCUUUUGUGCCCUAAGUUUAUUUAAACAAGAAAAUAAAGAUUGGAAUAUAAAAAGACUGCCUUUUAAGGUGGUAGGUUCUUUUCCUUUUCAGUUUUUACAAUAGAGAUUCUGGUCUUGUAACGAUGAAAUGGAGAGCUGCAGGAUUAUGAAACAACUAAACACGAAGGGCAAAUCUGACUGGAAGAGACAGAGAUAUUAUUGCAAUUAUCUGAAACUUAGCUGGGUUAGUUCCUUCACUAACCUAAAUCAAUGCAGUUCCUCUGAAAUCAAUAGGGUGAUACAGAUUCAUCCAAAACAUACCUGGCAUGUAAGAUAAUGCGUCACCUUCUGUUAGGACACGUAAACAUAAACACAUGUGGAGAGGACUCUUUUCUAUAUAUCUCCUUAACCUUUAAAUACUCGAAACCGUACUUUUAGGAGAGGCAUUUAUGUACUUCUGCUAUUUUACUCCUAUAUCUCUGUUGGUAUGAAUCUCGUGUGGUCAUUUACACUAAAAUAAAGUCAGGUCCAAACGCUGACUUCAGUCCUCAGUGCUCCGUACUUAUCUGUGCUGCUGCAAAUCACCAGGAAGGGCUCAAGAUGGCAGGGAGCCGGGGCCUUGCUGGCUGCUGUCUUCCUCCCGUGAAAAUCACCGAGCGCUCCCACUGCUCAUUUCUGAAUCACCCAAGGCGUCCUGCAACAACAGAAGGGAACCAAGACUUCACAAUCCUCAUCCUCACCGAUGGGAGAGCAGCCAGAGAUUUGCCUGGGUUUGUUCCUGAAGGACUGGUGUGAGUGAGAGGUCUCAAGUGACCAUGGUGGUUUAAAGAAUGAUCUUGUCACGUGACUCUGAAGUAGAGCAAGAGUUGCAGCAGACUUCAACUUUCAGUCCUACAUUGCCUGUUCAAGAAAGGUCUAGAGAAGAAAGUCCUAAAUAACAUGGUGAAUUAAAAAAAAAAAAGAUAAUUGCUGGUUUUGAGGAUGUGACUUUGGUCAGAUAAAGCACAAUCUGGCAGGUGUUAUGAAGAAAACAUAAUUGGUAGAAGUAGUAGAACUAACCUUAUGGAAGAAUAUUUGCCCAGUGAUUUGCUACACUAAUCAACAAGCAGCACUUCAGAGUGGACCACCAACCGGUAAAGCAGGAGUAUCAUCACAGAAUGGCCUGGGUUGAAAAGGACCACAAAGAUCAUCCAGUUUCAACCCCCUGCUAUGUGCAGGGUCGCCAACCACCAGACCAGGCUGCCCAGAGCCACAUCCAGCCUGGCCUUGAAUGUCUCCAGGAAUGGGGCAUCCACAACCUCCUUGGGCAACCUGUUCCAGUGUGUCACCACUCUUUGUGUGGAAAAACUUCUUCCUAAUAUCCAACCUAAACCUCCCCUGUCUCAGUUUAAAACCAUUCCCCCUUAUCCUAUCACUAUCCACCCUUGUAAACAGCCGCUCCCCUUCCUGUUUUUACUCUCCCUUCAAGUACUGGAAGGCCACAGUGAGGUCUCCCCAGAGCCUUCUCUUCUCCAAACUAAACAAGCCCAGUUCCCUUAACAUUUCCUCAUAGGAGAGGUGCUCCAGCCCUCUGAUCAUCUUAGUGGCCCUCCUCUGGGCCCGCUCCAAGAGUAGUAAGUCAAUAGCUGAAAAGUGAUGUGAAAAAGAAGGCAGCUAGAAGAAAUAAAGGAUUUCUUAAAACCACUCCCACCCAGCAAUGCUGUUUCUUGUAUCUUUAGUUUCAUCUGCUUCUCGAAGUCUAUCUUGCCAAAUAUGCCUACCUUUCAAAAUUACUCCAGCUUCGGAAUGAAAGUGUCAGCAGUUGCAAGACUCUUGAGGGUAUGAUUAUCUUAUUUCCUGUCUGUCUAUUACAUUUAAACAUCUGCCAAACUGGAAAGGUCAUUUUUCUACUAUGACUCUGGAGUACACUUAAUGAGACUCUUGUUACUGACUGACCUCUUGUACCUGGAGAGAUUAAACAUCUUGGACAAGUUUUCAUUGCUUGAAUCUGUGCCAAAUCCUUUUAAUGCGUGAAGGACUCGAUCACUUUUAAACCAGUGGUAUAGAGCAAACAAGCUUCGGUCUGAUGCCAGGGGGCUGCUUGAUUUUUGCAGUAACAAAACAGAAACUUAUAAGCACCUUGGGUACAGCAAAAGAAAAUAUAUCUGUGCUGAUCUUUGUCAACAGUCUCAUCAGAUUGCUAGGAACGUCCCUCCUACCAGGCUACUUUGCAGCUGUGAAUGAAAGCUCAUUAUCCGUGGCCAGUGCUUACCAUAAGAAGCAUAACCUUAGCUUUCAAAAUAAGGGACUUUUAAAGUAUUUAUGUUGUUAAAAUUGAAGUAAAUCAGAUCAUGUUGCUGUGUUGCUUUUAGCAACUUGCACCUACUCUACUUCCAUCGUACUUAGUGAGAUUUUUCAGCUACAUUUAAAGACUAAGUCUAGAAUGGAGCUCUGUUUAUGAAACACUGGCUAUUAAUGUUUCACAGCAUUUGGCAAUGCUGGUUUUUCUGAUUAUAUUCAACCUUGCUGAACAGGAAUGUUUGCAUCAUUUAAGAGCAAUUUUUUUUUUUUUUUUGCACUGCCUGUAUUUUGUAUCUUCUCAAACAAAGAGAUGAUGACAGAUGAUGCCUCAAAGAUAAGUAACAUUCUACUAUAUGACCUCUGCCUACAGUAAGUUCUCUAAAUGCACGUGUUUCACCACAUCAUGGCAUGUUACCUACUUUAUUUAUCCAUUCCACUUGAUAUAGCUAUUAAAAACAGCCCUUCUUAGUUGAGUCUUUUCCUCAGGAUCUAAUUCUGUAACUACUUUGACAAAAUUAAAGACUCACAAGAUGAAUGGGCCGCAUGCCCCUACUAACAAAAUGUGUGUAUCCUCCAAAAACAUUCUGAUUAUUUGAAAAAUCCUUAGGAUGGAUGUCAGUUAAAAUUACAAGGGGAGGGAUUCCAUCCAUUCUUUCAUACUUAUUUCCUCCUCUUCACUGUUUCCAUUUUAUUUAUCAAAUAAGCUUUCUGUUGCCAAAUUUCUUUCAUCUUUUUGUAAGUAUUGUUUUUACCUCUUCUGUAUUUUGCAUAUGAGAAAUCCUUUCUACUUAUUUCUAGGCAUUUUCUAAAUAUAUAUUUGUAUCAUUGAUGAUCAUGUUGCAAUCUCAUUUAAAUGAGUAUUUAAACGUAUUCGUCAUUCAUAUAAUUGGAACCAAGCUCAGCAUCAAUAAGUGGCUUAUUAGUGGUCUUAGAGUAAGUGAUAGGAAAGGGCAGAUAAUAGUCAAUUCUUUUGUAACUAUUAUUACAAAACUUUGUAUGCACACUGGGGCUUUGUUGAUACUUGCAUCAGAAAACAGUAAAUGACUAAAUGUGACCCAGCUUCUCACCACCAGCAAUGGUUUUGAUUACAUCAUGACUGAAAACUGCACUGACAGAACCAUAAAAAUGUUUGCAGAACCUGAGCUUGUGGUCUAACAUUAACAAUGAAUCUCCCAGGCAGUUUUCGUGUGCAGUAGGUGAGGAAUGAUGGGCCAGACUAUAGUUUGCUGGGCAAAUGCAAAGAUGGACAAGGAAGAUGGCAAAAUAAUUACUUCACCUGAUCCUUCCUUUGUGUGUUCAAAGCCAGGUUGUAGAAUACAAGAAGUGAUGAAAAGCUGCAAAGGUACAGUGCAGCCCAAGCUUUCCUUAGAGGUGGUACUGAGCAUGCCAGCAGGUUUGCAAAAGCAAGUAGGCUUGGCACACGUAUGAAGAGGGUGCAUCUAAGACAGUUGCAUGGUCGCACAAAUAUAACUUGAAUAUCUCUGAGUAUUUAAACUGCAUGUGCUGCAAAAAUUAUUUAUUUAUGCCAAUGUAAUUCUACAGGUGAAGUUAUUUCCAUAUAUGCCACUCUCCAGACAGUUGUCCUUGUUCUAAAGUAACAAAUAAUAACUUUUCCCUUACUUUACUAAUCAUGGUGAAAAAGCGUCCACCUGAGAGGUCUACAUUUUGCCUGACUUCCCCCUAGUUCAUUUUCCUAGUGCAGACAAGUGCUAAAACUAUCAUUGAGGAAGAGUGGGAUGCUAGGAUGUCCUGAGGAUGCCACCUCUGUAUGUAGAAUCCACUGCUGACUCAGAGCAAAUCUGGACCAUUACACAAACCAUUGUCAGCAAUGGAGCACUAUGUUCAGCAAUUUAGGAAGGACAGGCAAGCAAUAUAAAAGAAUCCAAAUAAAGCAACAAAGAUGGUUAGACACAUGGCUGUGUGUUUCACAAGCAAUGAGCUUUCUUAAAAUAACACGGAAGGAAGAAAGAAAAGCCAGAAAAUUAUAUAUCAGCAGUACUAUUUCUAAAAAUAAUGGUUUUCAAACUUUUCCAUGUGGCAUUAACAGCUCUUUAAGGGAUAAUCUUUAUUGCUUUGUAACAUACAAAGCAAUAAACAGCUGCUGAGAUUGAUUAAUAGCCAAAGCAAAGUUGAGGCAUGUAAUCAAUCUAAAAAGCCAUUUAUUGUGAAUAUGCUACAAAGCAAUAGAGAUUACUGCUGUUGCACAACAAACCAUAACAGAGAAAACACACAGACACAUACACACACCCAGCAAAAACAGUUGCUUUCUUUUCAAGGCCCUCUGUGUUAUGCUGCCUUUUUCCUGAGCUUGCAAAUGGCAGUGCCAUUGCCAAAGAAAGGCCACUGGCCCUAUAGCGUAUGGUCUCCUUGAAGAAAGUAAUGCUGUAAGAACUGCAGUGUUACCUGAGCGGGAAAUCAUACUAAUGGGUUUUUGUGUUUGGUUUGUUUUUGUUUUUCUGUAACUAGAAAUGUAAAAUUCCACAUGUAUGCAAUGUGUCCUUGGAAAUGGUACUGCUAUUUGUAUAAUAAUAAUAAUAAUAAUAAAGAAUUGGCUU
ensembl:lncRNA